rnacentral:tRNA from 1 species
GUUUCUGUAGUUGAAUAACAACGGUGGUUUUUCAAGCCAUUAGUUCUGGUUAAAGCCCGGGGAGAAACU